rnacentral:rRNA from 1 species
AUGGAGUUGCGGUUUGCUUUCAUGGUGCACAUUAGAAGGGACCGGUACAUGUUCGAUGCAAAGGAUAAGAAGAAAUACCAAGGAGGUUUUGAUUAUCGGUUGCCAAUGGCUAGUAAUUGGAGUUUAAGACAAUUUGGGGAGGUAAUUUGUAGCCAAUAUCCUUGGGGUUUGCUUGAUGAAGUGGUAUACAAAUACUAUGAUGGGGAAAAGAAUUGGGUGACAGUUAGUAAUGAUGAAGAGCUAGCUACCAUGUUUGUUAGGCAUAAAGAGAAAGAUAAUUUUCAUGUGAGGCUGCAAGUUGAUGUGCUUGAGCAGGCAUUUGGACCUAGGAUGGCGGGUGCAACAUCUCGGGGAGAAUCAAGUCGUCGUAAUGGCAUCUCUAGCCAGAACAAUUCAGUUGGUGCACGGCGACGUGGUGGCUCGACAAGUGUGGGCAACAGCAGUAGGGUCUCCCUUGAAGUGGAGCCUGAUGGCUACAAUUCUGGGGUUGAUGAAGAGAAGUUAUAUUCUGAUGUUAUUCAGAAUUUAUGA